rnacentral:sRNA from 1 species
UCUUGGCCCUAUCCUCCCUUAAAACAUUCCACAAUAUCCUGCUUUCAAAAGCCUAAAACGCGGAAAUUUUUGCUCCUUCCUCAUCUCAAGAUCUGGCACUGACUUCUAGCCCUGGCUCAGCUUCUGGUGAGUAGUCUUAGUCGAUUCUUAUCGAAGGAUUUGCGGCAAACCUCAUAAAUAUAGGGAAGGUUCUUGGCUGUCGAUAGGAUGAUGAUAUUGAAUAGAGAGAGGAUCGAUCGCGUAUGUUGGAUGAAGAAGGGUGGUAAGUAUGGUCGAUUGUUCGAUGGAUGGCUUCCAUUAAGAUUUGAGAUAAACGCGCCUUCAACUAGAAUAGAAGACGCGGUAAAGAGGGUGAUGCAAUAUGAGAGACAGCAUGCCUACUGAUUGCAAAGGAAUUCAAUUAAUCAUAGCAAUAUGAGAAGCAGCGAGCCUACCAGGGGCAUUACGUGCAUCAUGAUUGCAAAAACAACUUAAAAUGAGACAGCUGGCUUUUUCAAGGAACCUAACCUGCUCCAAAACCAACAACAAUCAUCACCACUAUUGUAGGGAACAUGGAAUCAACCACUAGGUUAAAAAAAUUUUUAAGCAUUUGAUGGCGCUGAAGCAUCAAAGGGCCCAUAAUCUGAUGGAGGUGGACCUUGACCUCUCCUGUAAAAUGUAUCAAGGUGAGAUUUGACGUAGGUCCUCUGAUAAUUUCGGAGGCCGAUAAUGAAGAAGUCAUGAAAGAAAUCUUCGCCAGGAUUCUUCGCUAGUUCUAGGGUACGAGC